UACAGAGGGUGCGAGCGUUAAUCGGAAUUACUGGGCGUAAAGCGUGCGUAGACGGUGGCGUAAGUCGGGUGUGAAAGCCCCGGGCUCAACCUGGGAAUUGCAUUCGAGACUGUGCCGCUAGGGUGCGGAAGAGGGAAGCGGAAUUUCCGGUGUAGCGGUGAAAUGCGUAGAUAUCGGAAGGAACAUCAGUGGCGAAAGCGGCUUCCUGGUCCAGCACCGACGUUCAGGCACGAAAGCGUGGGGAGCAAACAGG
rnacentral:rRNA from 1 species